UACGUAGGGGGCAAGCGUUGUCCGGAUUUAUUGGGCGUAAAGAGCGUGUAGGCGGCCAUACAGGUCAGCUGUGAAAACUCGAGGCUCAACCUCGAGACGUCGGUUGAAACCGUAUGGCUAGAGUCCGGAAGAGGAGAGUGGAAUUCCCGGCGUAGCGGUGAAAUGCGCAGAUAUCGGGAAGAACACCUAUGGCGAAGGCAGCUCUCUGGGACGGUACUGACGCUGAGACGCGAAAGCGUGGGGAGCGAACAGG
rnacentral:rRNA from 1 species